CCCUUAGAUGUUCUGGGCCGCACGCGUGCUACACUGAUGCAUUCAACGAGUCUAAAACCUGGUCUGAUAGGGCUGGGUAAUCUUUUGAAAGUGCAUCGUGAUUGGGAUAGAUGAUUGCAAUUCUUCAUCUUCAACGAGGAAUGCCUAGUAAACGCAAGUCAUCAGCUUGCAUUGAUUACGUCCCUGCCCUUUGUACACACCGCCCGUCGCUCCUACCGAUUGAAUGAUCCGAUGAAUAUCAUUGAUUGAGAGUACGAAUGGGUUCGCUCAUUUCUGCUGCUCGAGAAGUGAAGUAAAUCUUAUCAUUUAGAGGAAGGAGAAGUCGUAACA
rnacentral:rRNA from 1 species